rnacentral:rRNA from 1 species
AUUGAACGCUGGCGGCAGGCCUAACACAUGCAAGUCGAACGAGUGGCGGACGGGUGAGUAAUGUCUGGGAAACUGCCUGAUGGAGGGGGAUAACUACUGGAAACGGUAGCUAAUACCGCAUACCAUCGGAUGUGCCCAGAUGGGAUUAGCUAGUAGGUGGGGUAAAGGCUCACCUAGGCGACGAUCCCUAGCUGGUCUGAGAGGAUGACCAGCCACACGGGAACUGCGAACGGGGCGAUGCUCGUAGGGGAGGCAGGAGUGGGGAAUAGUGCAAAAUGGGUGUAAGCCUGAUGCAGCCAUGCCGCGUGUAAGAUGAAGGCCUGCGGGUUGUAAAGUACUGUCAGCGGGGAGGCGUUAUCCGCAGAAGAAUCACCGGCUAACUCCUGGCAAGCAGCCGCGGUAAUUC